GGAAUAUUGCACAAUGGGCGAAAGCCUGAUGCAGCAACGCCGCGUGCGGGAUGAAGGCCUUCGGGUUGUAAACCGCUUUCAGUAGGGAAGAAAAUGACGGUACCUACAGAAGAAGCCCCGGCCAACUACGUG
rnacentral:rRNA from 1 species